rnacentral:tRNA from 1 species
GGAAGCAUGGGGUAACCAGGCAUCCUGGCGGGCUCCAGACCCGCUGAUCUGGGUUCGAAUCCCAGUGCUUCCA